UUUGAUGGCGACCGGCGCACGGGUGAGUAACACGUAUCCAACCUGCCGAUGACUCGGGGAUAGCCUUUCGAAAGAAAGAUUAAUACCCGAUGGCAUAGUUCUUCCGCAUGGUAGAACUAUUAAAGAAUUUCGGUCAUCGAUGGGGAUGCGUUCCAUUAGGUUGUUGGCGGGGUAACGGCCCACCAAGCCUUCGAUGGAUAGGGGUUCUGAGAGGAAGGUCCCCCACAUUGGAACUGAGACACGGUCCGA
rnacentral:rRNA from 1 species